UACAGAGGGUGCAAGCGUUAAUCGGAAUUACUGGGCGUAAAGCGCACGCAGGCGGUUGGUUAAGUCAGAUGUGAAAGCCCCGGGCUCAACCUGGGAACUGCAUUUGUGACUGCAAGGCUAGAGUACGGUAGAGGGGGGUAGAAUUCCAGGUGUAGCAGUGAAAUGCGUAGAGAUGUGGAGGAACACCGAUGGCGAAGGCAGCCCCCUGGGUCAAGAUUGACGCUCAUGCACGAAAGCGUGGGGAGCAAACAGG
rnacentral:rRNA from 1 species